rnacentral:lncRNA from 1 species
UGGCCGCUUUUGUUUAUACCAGGAAGCCUUCUACAUCGGGCUUCGACUUCCACUCCCACCUUUUGUUUUUGCUCUUUUUUAUUUUUUAAAUAUUUCUCUAGUUUCUGUAGCACCGAACUCCUUUAGGUUUCUGAUAGGAUUUCUUUUCCUCUAUCAUUUAGCUGAAGUUCGGCCAACUCUUCUCUGGCCAUGGAGGCCGUAGAAAGGCAUA